AGCUUUGCGCAGUGGCAGUAUCGUAGCCAAUGAGGUUUAUCCGAGGCACAAUUAUUGCUAAUUGAAAACUGAAUUGCAGGCGGAUUCUUUACCAACUAAGAUAUGAGGGAAGCCUGAAAACAUG
rnacentral:snRNA from 1 species